GCUGGGCGUGGUGGUGCAUGCCUGUAAUCCCAGCUACUUGGAGGCUGAGGCAGGAGAAUCGCUUGAACCUGGGGGGUGGAGGUCGCAGUGAGUCAGGAUAGUGCCACUGCACUCCAGCCUGGGAGACAAAGUGAGACUCCGUCUCAA
rnacentral:SRP_RNA from 1 species